CGCGUAAGAACCUACCUUUAGGCGAGGAAUAACCAGUGGAAACGGUGGCUAAUACCUCAUAAACUGUGGAGUAAAAGGCGAAAGCCGCCUGAAGACGGGCUUGCGUCUGAUUAGCUUGUUGGUAAUUUAAAAGAUUACCAAGGCAACGAUCAGUAGUUGGUCUAAGGGGAUGAUCAACCACACUGGGACUGAGACACGGCCCAGACCUCUACGGAGGGCAGCAGUGAGGAAUUUUCCGCAAUGGGCGAAAGCCUGACGGAGCAAUACCGCGUGGAGGAUGAAGGCUUGUGAGUCGUAAAC
rnacentral:rRNA from 1 species